AUGGCAUAUCCAUUUAAACUAGGCUUCCAAGAUGCUAUGUCACCUAUCAUAGAAGGAAGAACUCCUUCAUUUUCAUGACCACACCCAUGUGGUCAUUUAAUUCGUUCAUUAGUACUUUAUAUUACUUCCCUGAUACUAACAAAUUAACUUGCACAAGACUAUAGAUGCCCAAGAAGUGGAGACAAUAUGAACUAUGUUGCUUGCUAGUAUCUUAAUUUUAAUUGUUCUCCCAUCAUUAUGUGUUCUAAUACAUAAUAGAUGAAAUUAAUAAUCUCUCCCUUUCUGUCAAAACUAUAGGGCAUCAAUGAUAUUGAAGCUACAAAUAUACAGAUUAUGAAGACCUAAGUUUUGACUCCUACAUAAUUCCCACAACAGACUUAAAAUCAAGAGAGCUGUGGUUACUUGAAGUUGACAGUUGAGUAGUUCUCCCUAUAGAAAUAUUAAUUCAUAUGUUAAUUUCAUCAGAAGAUGUCCUAUAUUUGUGAGCCAUACCAUCACAUCAAUAGGCCUAAAAAUCGUUACAAUCCCAGGGCAUUUAAACCAAGCAACCUUAACAUCUAUACGACCAGACCUUUACUACAGACAAUGCCCAGAAAUCUGCAGAUCCAACCAUGGCUUUAUACCCAUUGUUCUUGAACUAGUCCCCCUAAAGCACUUCGAAAAUUGGUCAGCC
rnacentral:lncRNA from 1 species